AUGUGCAAGAGCAAGACCAGCAUCCUGGCGGCCAGGCUCCUCAUCCAAGCCUCGCUCCGCCGUAGUAGCGCCACCAUCGGCGCCUUCUCCCACAGGAUCCACAUACUCUCAGCUGCCGCCGACCGGAAGAAGAGCGCCAUGAUGGAAUGUCACAAGACACUCGUGAUGCGAAAUGUCGAGAAGACACUCGUGAUGCAUUGUUUGAUCAAGAGAAUGAUGUGUGAUGUUGAUGGUGAGGUCGAAGGUAAUGAAGAUGAUGACGAUGUGCUACUCGAUGUGUGUGAUGAAGACGACAACGAUGAACCACCGGUCAUGGAUGUAAUUAGGAACAACCGAGAGGCUGAAGGUUUGGAGUUCAACAUUGAGAACGAGAUCGAUCAGGCGGCCGAUAUGUUCAUCACUAGGUUUCGGAAGCGGAUGAAUCAGAGCUUCUAG
rnacentral:rRNA from 1 species